rnacentral:rRNA from 1 species
AUUGAACGCUGGCGGCAGGCCUAACACAUGCAAGUCGAGCGAGCGGCGGACGGGUGAGUACUGUUUGUGGAUCUGCUCGAUCGAGAGGGCUAACUACUGCGAACGGUAGCUACUACUGCCUACUAUUGGAUGCACCUAUAUGGGAUUUGCUAGUAGGUGAGGUAAUGGCUCACCAAGGCGACGAUCCCUAGCUGGUCUGAGAGGAUGAUCAGCCACACUGGAACUGAGACACGGCCCAGACUCCUACGGGAGGCAGCAGUGGGGAAUAUUGCACAAUGGGCGCAAGCCUGAUGCAGCCAUGCCGCGUGUAUGAAGAAGGCCCUAGGGUUGUAAAGUACUUUCAGUCGGGAGGCGUUACCGGCAGAAGAAGCACCGGCUAACUCCGUGCCAGCCGCCGCGGUAAUAC